CUUCAAUGUUUAUUAGAAUUCGCAAGGUUUUGGAAGGAAUAUAACUGAAUAUUUAAUAAUAACCUUGUAUCUUGAAAGGAUAGAACUUGUGUAAAGUUCAAUGCUGAGAAAAUUUAAUGACCAUUAUUCUUUAAAAUUAACUCAAACCGUGGAAAUCGUGAUUACAUGAAGACAUAACAUUGAAUUGUCAAAUACUGUAACUGUAUGUUUGGAUCUCUUCAACUAAUAGGAAAUAUAACCCCUAUAGUGAGUAUAGUUAUGAAAUUUUCUGUUAAUUUGUAUUGAACAUAGGGAGUCUAAGAGUGCAGGGCCCCCACGCGCGCAUUUUACUGCAUCAUUUUUGGAACGUCAUCUGAGAGACAUCGUAGAUUUCUUUCAGCUUCUUUCCUAGAAUAAUCUUACUAUAAGUUAAACAGAACUGAGCUCCACUCAAAAAUAACGUUUUUGCGGAAUGAAUGUCCUUCAUUUCGCAAACCAUUUAUGACUGAUCAUUUUACACAGUACUAAUAAAAUUGUUUUGAUUUUUUUAGAUAAAGCAUAUGAGGACAGUGGGGAGCGCUAAUAUUGGCCAAUGUGUCAAUAAUAUCUUGAGAAGAUUAAUGAUUGAUGAGCUGGCCAUGAAAUAAUUCUCAUAUACUGGCCGUGCAUCAAACGGGAACACAAAAACUCCAUUUCAUGGGAGUGAGAUAUCGAAAUGCAUACUGAUUGCUGUUCAAACGUUUUUUGGUGACAUUGCAAUUGAAGUGAAAUAUGAAUCGUUGGCGUCGAAAUGGUUUCAACAAGCCAGAACAAGGUUGUUGAGAAGGACCAAGAGCAGAGAGACUACGCCUCAUGAAGCUCAAAUCGAGGACGAUAGCAGUUCAAAGUAAAAAUAUAUAAUAAGUUAAAAAUUAAAAGUUCAAUUUUUGUAAUAUUUAAUAAAAAUCAUUGCAUU
rnacentral:lncRNA from 1 species